rnacentral:misc_RNA from 1 species
AGCAGCCGCGGUAAUUCCAGCUCCAAUAGCGUAUAUUAAAGUUGUUGCAGUUAAAAAGCUCGUAGUUGAAUUUCGGGAUCAAUAUGUUGGUCGUGCCUCGGUACGUACUAGCAUGUUGGUUUCUCCUUUCUGAAGAACCAUGAUGUCAUUUAUUUGGUGUCGUGGGGAAUCAGGACUGUUACUUUGAAAAAAUUAGAGUGUUUAAAGCAGGCUCACGCUUGAAUACAUUAGCAUGGAAUAAUGAAAUAGGACGUUUGAUUCUAUUUUGUUGGUUUCUAGGAUCGACGUAAUGAUUAAUAGGGAUAGCUGGGGGCAUUAGUAUUCAAUUGUCAGAGGUGAAAUUCUUGGAUUUAUUGAAGACUAACUACUGCGAAAGCAUUUGCCAAGGAUGUUUUCAUUAAUCAAGAACGAAAGUUAGGGGAUCGAAGACGAUCAGAUACCGUCGUAGUCUUGACCAUAAACUAUGCCGACUAGGGAUCGGAUGAUGUUAAUUUUUUUAAUGACUCAUUCGGCGCCUUAC